GAUGAACGCUGGCGGCGUGCCUAAUACAUGCAAGUCGAGCGAACAGACGCGGAGCUUGCUCCUUUGACGUUAGCGGCGGACGGGUGAGUCACACGUGGAUACCCUCCCUAUAAGUCUGGGAUAACUUCGGGAAACCGGAGCUAAUACCGUAUAAUCUACUGCACCGCAUGGUUCAAUAGUGAAAUACGGUUUUGCUGUCUCUUAUAGCUGGAUAUCGGCUGCAUUGGCUGGUUGGGAAGGUACCAGCCUUCCAAGGCUACGCUGCGUAGCCGACCUGAGAGGGUGAUCGGCCACACUGGAAGUGAGACACGGUCCAGACGCCUAAGGUAGGCAGCAGUAGGGAAUCUUACGCAAUGGGCGAAAGCAUGACGCAGCAACGCCGCGUGAGAUAUGAAGGCCUUCGGAUCGUAAAACCCUGUUAUUAGGUAAGAACAAAUGUGUAAGUAACCAAAGACGUCUUGACGGUACCUAAUAAGAAAGCAACGGCUAACUACGUG
rnacentral:rRNA from 1 species